CCGAGUUUUAUACUCUAAACCCUGCGAACCCUACCGUCAGUAGCUUCGGCGGCCAGCCCCCGGGGGGGCGCCGUACGGCCGCCGAAAGCAACCAAAACUCUCCUGACAAAAGUCUUCUGAGUGGACUACAAAAACAAGUCA
rnacentral:misc_RNA from 1 species